CCUCUCUGUCCCUGUUACAUGCACACACGCACGCAAAGAAGAAAGAAAACUAGCAAUCCUGUCCUUCCAGCCCUGGGGCUCCAGCUUACCUCCUCUAAUUCCUGUCCUCUGCCUCUGGCUCCUCUCCUUCCUCCCGAGACCCUGCAGCCCUGCCAUUUUCUUCUCUAGGGUGGAGCCCCUGGCCCACCACCCCACUUAGCAGGAUCCGGGUCUCCUCCCUUGAAAACGUCUCCACACACCACUUCUGGAACCUGACCCACGGGCUGGCUCAGUUGGUGGACGUCAGAUACCUCAGUUUCUUCCUCCUGUAUCCGGGGAUGUGGUUGGCUGUGCUCCCGGGGUUACCAUGGGGACUGCAAAGGAUGAUGUCCGAAAGCCCUUAACAGCAUCCCAGGUGUGUGCUAUAAACAUGGAAGCUUUAAUCCGUUGCAAUGUGGAGGGCUUCUGAGCACCUGCUCUGGCUGGAGGCUGGGGAACUACCAGUAAACAAGAUCCAAUCCCAGCCCUGGAAAAGCUCUUGUUGCAUCUGAGAGACAGGUAUGCACACCGAACUGCUCUGAUCACCCACUGCUCGGAACCAGCCAGGACCUUGGUCCAGCUGUGCCCAGAGCAGCUCCGAAGAGGGCAAGGAGGGUGAGUGUUGGAAAGGGCCCUGCCGGGCAGGGGCGUGAGGGAUGCUGGCUGCUGGCUGCUGGCUGCGGCCUGGGGUGGGAGUGGAGGCCUCUGUCCCGCCUCACUCUUGCAGGGAUCCUGAGGGAAGGUCUGAGCAUGCUGGAGCUGGCGGAGAGGAUGAAGGGACCAAGAAUGCAUCCCAAGAUAGCAGAGAGGCUGCCUAACUCAGAAGGCGGGGACCCUGCACCGCAGGGGGGACGGAUGGUCACUUUGGGGCCUUGUGCUGGGGGCUGCAGCUGAUCGCACACUAAGGAGGCAGGACGUCAAGAGGCAGAGCUUCGGGAAGGGAGGUGCCUGGACUCCGGGGGUGCAGAGGAGCCAUAGCGACCUGCUCAUCCAGACAGCAGGCCGGCAGGCCACAGGGGACAGAGAGAGCCGUGAGGGAAUGUGGGCUGGGCCCGGGGCCUCUACACCUCCAAGCCCACGAGGGCCGGCCACUCAGCAAGCC
rnacentral:lncRNA from 1 species